rnacentral:rRNA from 1 species
GACGAACGCUGGCGGCGUGCUUAACACAUGCAAGUCGAGCGGUAAGGCCCCUUCGGGGGUACACGAGCGGCGAACGGGUGAGUAACACGUGGGUGACCUGCCCUCAGCUCUGGGAUAAGCCUGGGAAACCGGGUCUAAUACUGGAUAUGACUCCAUGACGCAUGGUUGUGGGGUGGAAAGCCUUGUGCGGCUGAGGAUGGGCCCGCGGCCUAUCAGC